GACGAACGCUGGCGGCGCGCCUAACACAUGCAAGUCGAACGAGCGAGAGAGAGCUUGCUUUCUUGAGCGAGUGGCGAACGGGUGAGUAACGCGUGAGGAACCUGCCUCAAAGAGGGGGACAACAGUUGGAAAUGACUGCUAAUACCGCAUAAGCCCACGGCUCGGCAUCGAGCAGAGGGAAAAGGAGCAAUCCGCUUUGAGAUGGCCUCGCGUCCGAUUAGCUAGUUGGUGAGGUAACGGCCCACCAAGGCGACGAUCGGUAGCCGGACUGAGAGGUUGAACGGCCACAUUGGGACUGAGACACGGCCCAGACUCCUACGGGAGGCAGCAGUGGGGAAUAUUGCACAAUGGGGGAAACCCUGAUGCAGCGACGCCGCGUGGAGGAAGAAGGUCUUCGGAUUGUAAACUCCUGUUGUUGAGGAAGAUAAUGACGGUACUCAACAAGGAAGUGACGGCUAACUACGUGCCAGCAGCCGCGGUAAAACGUAGGUCACAAGCGUUGUCCGGAAUUACUGGGUGUAAAGGGAGCGCAGGCGGGAAGGCAAGUUGGAAGUGAAAUCCAUGGGCCCAACCCAUGAACUGCUUUCAAAACUGUUUUUCUUGAGUAGUGCAGAGGUAGGCGGAAUUCCCGGUGUAGCGGUGGAAUGCGUAGAUAUCGGGAGGAACACCAGUGGCGAAGGCGGCCUACUGGGCACCAACUGACGCUGAGGCUCGAAAGUGUGGGUAGCAAACAGGAUUAGAUACCCUGGUAGUCCACACUGUAAACGAUGAUUACUAGGUGUUGGAGGAUUGACCCCUUCAGUGCCGCAGUUAACACAAUAAGUAAUCCACCUGGGGAGUACGACCGCAAGGUUGAAACUCAAAGGAAUUGACGGGGGCCCGCACAAGCAGUGGAGUAUGUGGUUUAAUUCGACGCAACGCGAAGAACCUUACCAAGUCUUGACAUCCUGCGACGCACAUAGAAAUAUGUGUUUCCUUCGGGACGCAGAGACAGGUGGUGCAUGGUUGUCGUCAGCUCGUGUCGUGAGAUGUUGGGUUAAGUCCCGCAACGAGCGCAACCCUUAUGGUCAGUUACUACGCAAGAGGACUCUGGCCAGACUGCCGUUGACAAAACGGAGGAAGGUGGGGAUGACGUCAAAUCAUCAUGCCCUUUAUGACUUGGGCUACACACGUACUACAAUGGCGUUAAACAAAGAGAAGCAAGACCGCGAGGUGGAGCAAAACUCAGAAACAACGUCCCAGUUCGGACUGCAGGCUGCAACUCGCCUGCACGAAGUCGGAAUUGCUAGUAAUCGCAGAUCAGCAUGCUGCGGUGAAUACGUUCCCGGGCCU
rnacentral:rRNA from 1 species